rnacentral:rRNA from 1 species
AGUGAACGCUGGUGGUAGGCCUAACACAUGCAAGUCGAACGGCAGCACAGGAGAGAUUGCUCUCUAGGUGGCGAGUGGCGGACGGGUGAGGAAUACAUCGGAAUCUGCCCAGUCGUGGGGGAUAACGUAGGGAAACUUACGCUAAUACCGCAUACGACCUUCGGGUGAAAGAGGGGGAUCGCAAGACCUCUCGCGAUUGGAUGAGCCGAUGUCGGAUUAGCUAGUUAGCGGGGUAAUGGCCCACCAAGGCGACGAUCCGUAGCUGGUCUGAGAGGAUGAUCAGACACACUGGAACUGAGACACGUUCCAGACUCCUACGGGAGGCAGCAGUGGGGAAUAUUGGACAAUGGGCGCGAGCCUGAUCCAGCCAUGCCGCGUGGGUGAAGAAGGCCUUCUGGUUGUAGAGCCCUUUUGUUGGGAAAGAAAUCUUUCAGGCUAAUACCCUGGGAGGAUGACGGUACCCAAAGAAUAAGCACCGGCUAACUUCGUG